rnacentral:rRNA from 1 species
CCUACGGGAGGCAGCAGUGGGGAAUAUUGGGCAAUGGGCGCAAGCCUGACGCAGCAACGCCGCGUGAAGGAAGAAGGCUUUCGGGUUGUAAACUUCUUUUGUCAGGGACGAAGCAAGUGACGGUACCUUACGAAUAAGCCGCGGCUAACUACGUGCCAGCAGCCGCGGUAAUACGUAGGUGGCAAGCGUUAUGCGGAUUUACUGGGUGUAAAGGGGGUGUAGGCGGGGCAGCAAGUCAGAGGUGAAAACCACGGGCUCAACCUGUGGACUGCAUUUGAAACUAUUUUUCUAGAGUGCUGGAGAGGCGAUCGGAAUUCCGUGUGUAGCGGUGAAAUGCGUAGAUAUACGGAGGAACACCAGUGGCGAAGGCGGAUUGCUGGACAGUAACUGACGCUGAGGCGCGAAAGCGUGGGGAGCAAACAGGAUUAGAUACCCGAGUAGUC